rnacentral:piRNA from 1 species
UAGUAGGGAGUAGAAUAGAAUGGAUCUGC